UACGAAGGGGGCUAGCGUUGUUCGGAAUUACUGGGCGUAAAGCGCACGUAGGCGGACAUUUAAGUCAGGGGUGAAAUCCCGGGGCUCAACCCCGGAACUGCCUUUGAUACUGGGUGUCUUGAGUCCGGAAGAGGUGAGUGGAAUUGCGAGUGUAGAGGUGAAAUUCGUAGAUAUUCGCAGGAACACCAGUGGCGAAGGCGGCUCACUGGUCCGGUACUGACGCUGAGGUGCGAAAGCGUGGGGAGCAAACAGGG
rnacentral:rRNA from 1 species